rnacentral:rRNA from 1 species
GAUGAACGCUGGCGGUGUGCCUAAUACAUGCAAGUCGAGCGAACAGACGAGGAGCUUACUCCUCUGACGUUAGCGGCGGACGGGUGAGUAACACGUGGAUAACCUACCUAUAAGACUGGGAUAACUUCGGGAAACCGGAGCUAAUACCGGAUAACAUGUUGAACCGCAUGGUUCAACAGUGAAAGACGGUCUUGCUGUCACUUAUAGCUGGAUCCGCGUCGCAUUAGCUAGUUGGUAAGGUAACGGCUUACCAAGGCAACGAUGCGUAGCCGACCUGAGAGGGUGAUCGGCCACACUGGAACUGAGACACGGUCCAGACUCCUACGGGAGGCAGCAGUAGGGAAUCUUCCGCAAUGGGCGAAAGCCUGACGGAGCAACGCCGCGUGAGUGAUGAAGGUCUUCGGAUCGUAAAACUCUGUUAUUAGGGAAGAACAAAUGUGUAAGUAACUAUGCACGUCUUGACGGUACCUAAUCAGAAAGCCACGGCUAACUACGUG